GCUCCAAUAGCGUAUAUUAAAAGUUGUUGCAGUUAAAAAAGCUCGUAGUUGGAUUUCUGGUGGGAGGGAACCGUCCGAUCUCAGAUUGGUGCGUGUUCCUCUCCGGCCAUCCUUGAGUCUAACCUCCUUGGCAUUAAGUUCGAGGUGGGGUGAUACUCAUCGUUUACUGUGAAAAAAAUUAGAGUGUUCAAAGCAGGCUU
rnacentral:rRNA from 1 species